rnacentral:tRNA from 1 species
GCCGGCAUGGCUCAGUGGUUGAGCGUCAACCUAUGAAGCAGUAGGUCCCAAGUUUGAUUCCUGGUCAGGGCA